ensembl:lncRNA
UAAACAUCUUACAUCAUCGUAAACAAGGUCAUAAUCACAGUAAGUAUAGGCCUGGUUUUUAAAUGACUAGGACAUGUAAACAUCUUACAUCAUCGUAAACAAGGUCAUAAUCACAGUAAGUAUAGGCCUGGUUUUUAAAUGACUAGGACAUGUAAACAUCUUACAUCAUCGUAAACAAGGUCAUAAUCACAGUAAGUAUAGGCCUGGUUUUUAAAUGACUAGGACAGGUAAACAUCUUAAAUCGGCGUUCCAGAGGUGUAUUUGAUCUGAGCAUGUGCCAGCAUCAGCCGAGCGAGUUCAGAACAACUUUAAAUAUCCAUCUUAGAAAUAGUUCACACAAAUAAAGUUUAUGUCCAAACUCAGAAUCAAAUAUCACAAAUUAACAGCAGUCUCACGUACUGUAGGUGGGCUUAAGGUCAGGGGUUUGGGUUAGGAAAGGGGACACUCAGCUACAGAACAGCAGUCUCACAUACUGUAGGUGGGCUUAAGGUCAGGGGUUUGGGUUAGGAAAGGGGACACUCAGCUACAGAACAGCAGUCUCACAUACUGUAGGUGGUCCUCUUGUCCAGGUGGCUGAGGGCAGUGUGGAGAGCUAUUGAGAUUGUGUCAUCUGUGGAUCUGCUGGGGCGGUAUGCAAAUUGGAGUGGGUAUAGGGUUUCUAGUGUUUCUGGAGAUGACGUGUGCCAUAACCAGC